rnacentral:rRNA from 1 species
UACGGGGGGGGCAAGCGUUGUUCGGAAUUACUGGGCGUAAAGGGCUCGUAGGCGGCCAACUAAGUCAGACGUGAAAUCCCCAGGCUCAACCUGGGAACUGCGUCUGAUACUGGAUGGCUUGAAUCCGGGAGAGGGAUGCAGAAUUCCAGGUGUAGCGGUGAAAUGCGCAGAUAUCUGGAGGAAUACCGGUGGCGAAGGCGGCAUCCUGGACCGGCAUUGACGCUGAGGAGCGAAAGCUAGGGGAGCAAACGGG